CUUUAUGCAUUUGCUAAUACGCCUACUAGAAACAUUAAGCUUAUAUAUGUGGCUUGUAUUAUAUUUCUAUUGGACGGUGCCACUCUAGAUAUCCGAAUCUACAAAGUGACUGAGAUUCAAACCCUUCAAUGAAUCACUUUUUAAAUGCUCUACUUGAGAAUUAAUUCCACUCACUGCUCUGCUGCCGUCGCGGUCCUGACUUUCCAAGGCUGUGCCCAGAGCGCGGCACACGUGGCUCUCACACAGGCAGGCCUGCACGGCACGCAGCAGUGGAGGAGGUUACCCUGGGUCGCUGACGCCAGGGGAAGCCAAGCGACCGACCCCACACUUCUGAGCCCCGCCGGGGAAGUCCCCGGGCGCGGAAACAGGUGGUGCGCCGGCGGUUCGCAGCUGCUGGGCCCGCCGGCCUGGGCGCAGCCGGGGACGGCGACGCGCUUCCUGCCCGGGAAGAGCCCGAGCGCAGGGCCGGCUAUAGCGGUCCCGCAGCUGCCUGCUUCGAUUUUAGCACUGCUGCUCCCAAGACGGAGCAACGCGGCCCUCUGUCCCUCGUAGGGAGGUGCUUUGUCAAGUCUGAGCUUUUCCACCUGUCCACCCCUGUAGCAAUGGGGCUGAUGUUCACACCCUGCAGACCAUCAUCAGCAUUCAUGGCACCCCAA
rnacentral:lncRNA from 1 species